UACGUAGGGGGCUAGCGUUGUUUGGAAUCAUUGGGCGUAAAGAGCGUGUAGGCGGUCCGGUAAGUCCGCUGUGAAAGUCGGGGGCUCAACCCUCGAAUGCCGGUGGAUACUGUCGGGCUAGAGUGCGGAAGAGGCGAGUGGAAUUCCUGGUGUAGCGGUGAAAUGCGCAGAUAUCAGGAGGAACACCGGUGGCGAAGGCGGGUCUCUGGGCCGUAACUGACGCUGAGGAGCGAAAGCGUGGGGAGCGAACAGG
rnacentral:rRNA from 1 species